CAUUAGGCAUGCAGUCGAGCGAGAAGGGUUUUGAAGCUUGCUUUGAAACCCGGAAAGCGGCGCAAGGGAGAGUAACGAGUAGUCAUCUACCCCAAGGCCCGGAAUAGCUGCGGGAAACUGCAGGUAAUGCCGGAUAAUAUCCCCGGAUCAAAGGUGUGAUUCCGCCUUGGAAGGAGACUGCUUUGUACUAGCUUGUUGGUAGGGUAAUGGCCUACCAAGGCUACGAUGCAUAGCGGGCGUGAGAGCGUGGCCCGUCUCACUGGGACUGAAACACUGCCCAGACACCUACGGGUGGCUGCAGUCGAGAAUCUUCGGCAAUGGGCGAAAGCCUGACCGAGCGAUGCCGCGUGCGGGAUGAAGGCCCUCGGGUUGUAAACCGCUGUCGUAGAGGAGAAAGGUCUGAUGAAGAAUCAGAUUUGAUCUAUUCUAGGAGGAAGUCCGGGCUAAGUUCGUGCCAGCAGCCGCGGUAACACGAACCGGACAAACGUUAUUCGGAAUUAUUGGGCUUAAAGGGUGCGUAGGCGGUGCGGUAAGUGCGGUGUGAAAGCCCUCGGCUCAACCGAGGAAUUGCGCUGCAUACUGCCGUGCUGGAGGGAGACAGAGGUAAGCGGAACUGAUGGUGGAGCGGUGAAAUGCGUUGAUAUCAUCAGGAACACCGGUGGCGAAAGCGGCUUACUGGGUCUUCUCUGACGCUGAGGCACGAAAGCUAGGGUAGCGAACGGGAUUAGAUACCCCGGU
rnacentral:rRNA from 1 species